GAUCAAAUAUGCCCUUCAUGGACAAGGUAUAUGAACACUGAGGAAGAAUGUAAAGAAGGCUCUGAAGGUGAUUCUGAAAGGCAGGGUUCCCACCCUGGGCUUGCAGGAUAUAUUCGCCAAGGGAACAUUUGGAUGCCGUUUGAAAAUAUGUUUUGGAUAUUGAGACAUUUCACCCUUCAACAAUACAGCUGAAAAUAAGAUAUUCCCCAACAUAAAUAUUAUUAUUAUUGUAAUUUGAGACAAAUUACAGUUCCUGCAUGUCAUCCAAUAUCUAGUCAUCCUCAAACUUCCCCCAAAAUGCCCCUAAAAUGUCUUUGGUCUCAAAAUUCUUUUGAAAAAUCAAAAGAAACCACACAAUUUGUACAAAGCUGUGAUGCUAAAGAGAGCACAAUGACGUGAGGAGAAUGCUAAGAGAAUUGGCACCGUUUGAGGAUCCUCACACUCCAGGAAAUUAAAGAUCAUGUGCAGAUACUUGCGUUCUUACAGUUAAUCCUUACAAGCAACCCCACAACGUGAGUAUUAUUACAGCCACUUGACCAGAGGAGAAAUUGGAACUUAGACAGUUGUGCAAGAUAGCAAGUUAGAGAGCAGCAAUGCAAAUGCAGUUCUGUUACACUUACCCGAGCCAUAUUUCUGUAAA